CCAGGUGGUGUUCCGCUCCACGUCUGCCAUGGUGUACAUCUUCAUCCAGAUGAGCUGUGAGAUGUGGGACUUUGACAUCUAUGGUGAUCUGUACUUUGAGAAGGCUGUAAACGGCUUCCUGUCUGACCUUUUUGCCAAGUGGAAGGAGAAGAACUGCAGUCAUGAGGUGACAGUGGUACUUUUCUCACGUACAUUCUACAACGCCAAGACUGUUGGUGAGUGUUUCCUAUGUUGUUACC